rnacentral:misc_RNA from 1 species
UUUCCGUAGGUGAACCUGCGGAAGGAUCAUUAACGAGCCGCCGGCGUGCGCCUAACCCGCCCCCGCCGGCACCGGCCCCACCCUUGAAUACUUUACCUGUUGCCUCGGCGGGCCGCAUCGUCCGCGGUCGUUCUGGCUAGCUAGCUACCGGUUCAGUGCCCGCCGGAGGAACCACAACUCUCUAUUGCAGUACUGUCUGAGAAACAUAACUAAAUCAGUUAAAACUUUCAACAACGGAUCUCUUGGUUCCA